GUGACUUUCACUAUCAGCAAAUAUAAAAAACGUGUCUACGAGGAUCAUGUACAAGGGAAAACAUCUAAAGAAAGAAAGCAUUUGAGUUUUGGUCACAAUUCUUCUCAGGACAUUCAAAAAGGAAAAGACGACAAGAAGAAUAUUGAUAUCGGCCAAGCAGGAAUAUGGAGCAUAGUGUAACAAAUACAACAACAGCCACUAUCCCUCCUAUGAGAGCAUGAUCAGGGCCAUUCUGGCCAGCCAGAGAAUUGGGAUCUGCAAGAGGAUGAAGAAAAGUGUUUUAGUUAGUCUGUCACUUUCUUCUGAAGUACAUAUCUGGAACCAGAUGAGUCAUUUUAAAACAGCAUGUUUCUGUUAAAAUUAACUUG